GGGCCGCGCCACCGCCGAAAAGCGCUCCCGGGCGCGCACGCUUCCUGUGCCGCUAGUUCCAACCCGCCUGAGGGAGGACCCAGCACGCGUGCGCGCUCGCCGGCUAGCGCCGGCCGCAGCGAGCGGGCCCCUGGCGCAGUCCUCCUGGCCUCCGCAGCGGCCCUAGCUGAGCCCCAGGCGGCGGGAGCGGCCGCGCGCUGGGGGACCGCGGGAGGAGGAAGAGAGGCGGGGCUGGUGCGGCGCCGCGCUGGGAGUGGGCUGGACAGGACGCCGCCGCGCAGACCCAGGUACCCGCGGCCGCUGCCCGCCCCACGGCGGGGAUCGGGAGCGCUAAGCGCGGCGGUUCGGCUCGGUGGUUUGUUUUUGUUUUAAUCGACACUCCCGCCGCCUCCCCGUGCAGCGCGGCCUCUCUCGGGAGGGUUGGCCGUUAUGGAGGUCCCGCCCCGGCUCUCGCAGGUGCCGCCGCCAUUGUUCCCCUCGCCUCCCUCCGCUCUGGCCCCCCGCAGCCUCUCCCAUUGGCGGCCCCGGGCUCCCCGGCUGCUCGCCCCGCUGCUGCCGUCGCUGAGUUCCGGCUCCGCCCGGCAGGGGGCGCGCCGAGCGCCGCGCCACGUCACCGCCCCCCAGCCCUCCCGAUUGGCGGGCGGGGCGUCUAUAAAGGGAGGGCGCAGGCGGCGCCCGGAUCUCUUCCGCCGCCAUUUUAAAUCCGGCUCCAUACAACGCGCCGCCGCUGCGACUCCCUCUCCGCGCCACCUGCCCCCGGCCGACAGCCCCGCCGCCAUGGAGGAUGUGAACGAGUACAGCAACAUGGAGGAGUUCGCCGAGGGCUCCAAAAUCAACGCGAGCAAGAACCAGCAGGACGACGGUAAAAUGUUUAUUGGAGGGCUAAGCUGGGAUACGAGCAAGAAAGAUCUCACUGAAUACCUGUCUCGUUUUGGAGAGGUUGUAGACUGCACAAUUAAAACAGAUCCCGUCACGGGAAGAUCGAGGGGAUUCGGAUUUGUGCUUUUCAAAGAUGCGGCCAGUGUCGAUAAGGUCUUGGAACUUAAAGAACACAAGCUGGACGGCAAGUUGAUAGACCCCAAAAGGGCUAAAGCUUUAAAGGGAAAGGAGCCCCCCAAAAAAGUAUUUGUCGGCGGACUGAGCCCAGAUACGUCUGAAGAGCAAAUCAAAGAAUAUUUCGGAGCGUUUGGAGAGAUUGAAAAUAUUGAACUUCCUAUGGACACAAAAACAAAUGAAAGAAGAGGAUUUUGUUUUAUCACAUAUACAGAUGAAGAACCAGUAAAGAAAUUAUUAGAAAACAGAUAUCAUCAGAUUGGUUCUGGGAAGUGUGAAAUCAAAGUUGCCCAACCCAAAGAGGUAUACAGGCAGCAACAGCAACAACAGAAAGGAGGGAGGGGCGCUGCAGCUGGCGGACGAGGUGGGACUAGGGGUCGUGGCCGAGGUCAGGGCCAAAACUGGAACCAAGGAUUUAAUAACUAUUAUGAUCAAGGAUAUGGAAAUUACAAUAGUGCCUAUGGUGGUGAUCAAAACUAUAGUGGCUAUGGCGGAUAUGAUUAUACUGGGUAUAACUAUGGGAACUAUGGAUAUGGACAGGGAUAUGCAGACUACAGUGGUCAACAAAGCACGUAUGGCAAAGCAUCCCGAGGAGGUGGUAAUCACCAAAACAAUUACCAGCCAUAUUAAAGGAGGACUUGGAGAAAACAGCGGGAACUUCAUUGCAGGCCGUGUGUCACCCUGACCACGUCUCUCUCUGGGGGUCGCACGUUGCGGGCAGAGCGCAAGGCACACACCAGAAAACGCUGUCCUGUGGUGCAGAUGCUUAUAGCAGCCUAUCUUGCAGGAUGACGACAUUGAAUGGAGAGUGGUCUUCUAUUGAUCUGAGAUGACUAUUUUGUAAAAGACUUUUAGUGUACAUGACACAACUGUGUCCAAUUGUAUAUAGCGGCCGAUUUAGUUUUCUUGUUUUUGCUUUGUCCUUUGCCAUCUGUGUUAUGACAAAUGUGGAUUUGUGUUUAUACAAAUUUUAUUUGUAUAAUUUCAUGUUAAAUGAUUCUCAAAAAUAAAUUACUUGUGAUUGUUUUUCUGUGUCAGGUACUAAAUAGCUCUGUAAAAAAUGUAAUUUUAAAUAAGCAAUAAUUGAGGCACAGUUUAUUUUCUAGGAGUUGUGAACAGUGGGGAAAAACAGUGGUCCUUUAUAAAUAGCGAGCAGCAAACUUUGCCUUAGUUUCCCAAUUCCCUUGAGAGUGAUCUAUGCUAAGGGUUCAUGUCCAUGUUUAAAAUAACCAUAGAUGCUACCAUGCAAUUAAACAGUGUUUGUCCCCCACAUGCAUUCUUGGGAUCUUUGUAUGAUGAGAAGUGUUAUUCAGCAUGUUGUGAAUAGCUGGAAUUGUUUCUAUCAGGCCAUAAAUCCCUUGACUUUUAUUUUCAAGAGGAACACCUUUUCUGUUAAACAUCAUAAAAUAAGGCAUCAUUAAUAUUAGUAAUGGCUUUUAUGAGUUGACAAGAUGCUUUGAGCCUAUUUAUAACAAAACAAAAAUCCACUCAUCUAUUAUGAUUACUUGACACUUGCGUUGAAUGUGAGUGUAAUUCAAAUUGCAUAUUUCUCUGUCCAUUGAAACUGGAUCAAAGAUUAAUCUGGACAAGAUUUUCACUAUAGAGUUGUAAGUAAAUGAAUUGUACUCUGAAAUAGUGCAUUAAGUCACUGCCACUGCCAAACCAUAAAUAGCUAUUUCCUAUUGGAACACAUACUUGGAAAGCUUUAGUAGAGUUAACGGCUUUUGUCGUGCAAGUUUUUAGGAAAAGUCAUAAUAGUGAAUCCCAUAAACUCAUGUAUUGUUUUGUAUUCUAAAUAAAGGUUAUUUUUCCAUUUUUAAAUGAUAAUAAUAGUGCAUGUGCUGUGAGUAGUGAAGCAUUACCAUAUUCAGUUAAAGGGGGGAGGUAUGUGUGGUAAUUAGUAACAAAGCAGUAUUUAUGUGACACAUUCUGUGUAAGUUAUAGGAGGGCUUCCUAAUAGUAUCUGGCCUUUAUAGCUCUCAAGUAUAGAGACUCAAAUCUUAGCUUGACAUUUAAUCGACUUCACUAGGGUCUAUAUUAAAAAAUGUUUAUAUGCCCACAAAUACAUUCCCCCUGUAGAUUAUGAUCUUUAUUAGACCUAAAAUGUCAAGUUUGUUCUUUUGGCCUAUUUGAAGCGAGUUUGUCAUAUGAGAGGACUGAUUUCUACAUCCCUGAAAUUUAUGCAAUCAAGUUAAACCCUAAUCUAAGAUGUGUUGGUUUUGUCCACACUGCUGGGUUCUUCCUGCCCCCCGCUUCUGUCCUCUGGAGCAAGUAUUCUUUCUCAUUCUCCGAAGGGCUAUCAAAUUUGCUUUAUAUUGUCCUAGCUUUGGUUUGUCCCCAUAUUGCUGUUAGUAAGUUGGCCUUCCAUAUAAGCAGUGAUGAAAUUGGAUUUCACCAGGAACUGUUUGGAACCAUAGAAAACGAAAGAGAUGAUUUGGUUUUAUGUUGUCAAAGGCAAUAGGUUCAGUGUAUUUAGUGGAGUGAUUCCUGUAAGUAGUUUACAACUUUAUGAUUAGGUGACAAAUUGACAUUGAAAUUGUCCUUUCCCUAACUACAUGAAUAAAAGUUUUUUAUCCUUAACUCUUUA